rnacentral:rRNA from 1 species
CCUUUUGAUUAAAUAAAUAUAAGAGGUCCAGCCUGCCCAGUGAUAGCAUUCAACGGCCGCGGUACCCUAACCGUGCAAAGGUAGCAUAAUCACUUGUUCUUUAAAUAGGGACUUGUAUCAACGGCACUACGAGGGUCGCACUGUCUCCUCUCCCCAAUCAGUGAAACUGAUCUCCCCGUGAAAAAGCGGGGUUAUAACUAUAAGACGAGAAGACCCCAUGGAGCUUCAAACCAACAGCAAUUUCAACCCCACCCAUUUCUACACAACACAUGAAAAUAUGCCUAUCGGUUUUGGGUUGGGGUGACCACGGAGAAAAAACCAACCUCCACGAUGUAAAGAACUAAAUCUUUAUUCCAGAGCUACACCUCCAAGAAUUAGCAUACUAACGAAAUGACCCACCUAGAUCAACGAACCAAGUUACCCUGGGGAUAACAGCGCAAUCUACUUCAAGAGCCCAUAUCGACAAGUAGGCUUACGACCUCGAUGUUGGAUCAGGGUACCCCAGCGGUGCAGCCGCUCCUAAAGGUUCG